UCUGUCUUAAACCCCCAGGAUUCUUCCUCAAAGACAACAUUUAAGACAAGACUCUCUACACUUACCAGGAGGCUCCAGAUACCAUUUGCGACCAGUCAAGGUUAGUAUCCACACACCACUCCAGUCCUCUAACUUUACCCGUUAGCAUACUAUCGAACUGGCUAUACGGCACAGGCUACUGCCUUAGCCCACCCUAUCAGGAAAUCUGAUCCCGCGAGGCCUACCACCCCCACCCCACCUCAACACGGAGGUACGGCCCCACGC